UGUGAACUCGAAGAGUAGGGCGGGACACGUGGUAUCCUGUCUGAAUAUGGGGGGACCAUCCUCCAAGGCUAAAUACUCCUGACUGACCGAUAGUGAACCAGUACCGUGAGGGAAAGGCGAAAAGAACCCCGGCGAGGGGAGUGAAAAAGAACCUGAAACCGUGUACGUACAAGCAGUGGGAGCCUCUUUUAUGGGGUGACUGCGUACCUUUUGUAUAAUGGGUCAGCGACUUAUAUUCUGUAGCAAGGUUAACCGUAUAGGGGAGCCGAAGGGAAACCGAGUCUUAACUGGGCGUUAAGUUGCAGGGUAUAGACCCGAAACCCGGUGAUCUAGCCAUGGGCAGGUUGAAGGUUGGGUAACACUAACUGGAGGACCGAACCGACUAAUGUUGAAAAAUUAGCGGAUGACUUGUGGCUGGGGGUGAAAGGCCAAUCAAACCGGGAGAUAGCUGGUUCUCCCCGAAAGCUAUUUAGGUAGCGCCUCGUGAACUCAUCUUCGGGGGUAGAGCACUGUUUCGGCUAGGGGGCCAUCCCGGCUUACCAACCCGAUGCAAACUACGAAUACCGAAGAAUGUUAUCACGGGAGACACACGGCGGGUGCUAACGUCCGUCGUGAAGAGGGAAACAACCCAGACCGCCAGCUAAGGUCCCAAAGUCAUGGUUAAGUGGGAAACGAUGUGGGAAGGCACAGACAGCCAGGAUGUUGGCUUAGAAGCAGCCAUCAUUUAAAGAAAGCGUAAUAGCUCACUGGUCGAGUCGGCCUGCGCGGAAGAUGUAACGGGGCUAAACCAUGCACCGAAGCUGCGGCAGCGAC
rnacentral:rRNA from 1 species